GAUGAACGCUGGCGGCGUGCUUAAUACAUGCAAGUCGAACGGAGUAUGUAGCGAUAUAUACUUAGUGGCGAACGGGUGAGUAACGCGUUGGUGACCUGCCCCAAAGCGGGGGAUAACAGUUCGAAAGGACUGCUAAUACCCCAUGUGGUCUUAGGGACUAGACGCCUUUUGACUAAAGGUGCAAACCGCUUCGGGAGGGACCUGCGUCCCAUCAGCUUGUUGGUAGGGUAACGGCCUACCAAGGCGACGACGGGUAGGGGGCCUGAGAGGGUGACCCCCCACACUGGCACUGAAACACGGGCCAGACACCUACGGGUGGCUG
rnacentral:rRNA from 1 species